UGUGUGCGCGUGCGUGUGUGUGUGUGUGUGCAUGUGUACGUGUGUCGAGGGAGGAGGAAGGCAAGCUUGAUGACACGCUCCAUUUCACAAGCUAAGUAAAUGGGGCAGAGAGAUGGGCGGCUGCCUGGGCAUCUCGCCAGGUGGGCAUCUUGACUCCAGGUCUGAGUUCUUUCUGCACAGGCUCCCUUGAGGGUUCCUACGUGGGCUCUGGAAGCUGACUGCCCGGGUUCAGAUCCAGGCCGGGCCUUUUGGUGACUGCGCAGCCUUGGGCACAUUCCUUAACCUCUAGGUGUCUGGUUUCUUGGGUCUACAAAAUGGGGACAACCCACGGGAGGAACCACCUGUGGCCGCUGUGGAGUUCCAUCGGGGCCUCUCACACUGACUGAGCGCUGUGUGCCAGGCGCCCAGAGCUGGCGUGCCAAGCGGAUGUCCACUGCCCUCGCGAGAGCCAGGCCUGGGCUGGGCCUGUGCCCUUGACGCGGAGUAAACAGACCGCAGCCUGACUCGUAGGAAGCGCUCGGUGACUGUGAGCUGUCCCCAUCACCAAGCCCAUAAGCCAGGCGGCUGGGGCACAGGCUGUCGCAGCAUCCUGCAUGGAGGAAGCAAUCUGGAUGUGGCCCUUCCUGUGUGCAGACAAGGUGCUGGGUGCUGGGGCCCCAGGGGGGAGGGGAACAGACCCCAGUCCCUGUCCUUGAGGCGCUCACAGCCCCUGGGAGACAGAAGUGACACAGAGAGGGAAGCGGAAACAGCUCACAAUAACAGGCAGCGUGGCUGGGGCCAGAGGAGAAGGAAGACGCUCCAUCCAUUACCUCCCGCCACCCGCAUCCGCCGCCCGCCCGCCGCCUGUCUUGCUCUCUUCCUUCCCAUACGCCUUUCUAAAGAGAUGUGCAUCUGGUUCGGGAACGUUCCUUCGGCCACGGUUCUGCCCUUAGCUCUCCUGGGCGGCUUCGUCCUUCCUUGGGGCAUGAAGUGCUCUCACUGGGCCGUGGCGAGGAUGAAAACGCGUUUGUGAAGCGCUCCCCAAAUGGAGGCCAGAAUAGGUGCUCGACACCUGGGCACGGCGAGGUGUCCGAGGUGUCAUCGUUACUCACAGCCCAGGAGAAGGAAUACUGAGGGGGGAGGGAAAGGGCUGGGCCCCUGGCUCUGCCCCUAAGGAGCUCUGUGACCCUCGGUGGCAGCAGAGAAGUGGAAAUCCAGCGAG
rnacentral:lncRNA from 1 species